UACGUAGGGUGCAAGCGUUAAUCGGAAUUACUGGGCGUAAAGCGUGCGCAGGCGGCUUUGCAAGACAGAUGUGAAAUCCCCGGGCUCAACCCUGGGAACUGCAUUUGUGACUGCAAGGCUAGAGUACGGUAGAGGGGGAUGGAAUUCCGCGUGUAGCAGUGAAAUGCGUAGAUAUGCGGAGGAACACCGAUGGCGAAGGCAGCUCGCUGGGACGGUACUGACGCUGAGGCGCGAAGCGUGGGAGCAAACAGG
rnacentral:rRNA from 1 species